rnacentral:tRNA from 1 species
GCCGGUGUGGCGAAAUGGCAGACGCGAUAGACUCAAAAUCUAUUAUACGCAAGUAUGUGGGGGUUCAAGUCCCUCCACCGGCA